rnacentral:siRNA from 1 species
AGGCCUGCUACAUCCCACUUGACC